rnacentral:lncRNA from 1 species
UGCGAUGAUGAAGAGUCAGUAUCAGAGACUGUUGUUUGAUCAUCAGCAACAACAACAUCUUCAUCAUUAGACAAUGUCAACUGUUGGAAAUGGCGUUGGUGGAGGGUCUAGAGUGAUUCAGACUCAUCCUCCGUCGUUGAUUUGAACCAACGUGAGAUCAACCCACCACGGAGAUCUCUUGAUUUCAAUCUCAAUCUACCUCCGAAACCAGAAAUCGUCUAAUGUUCUUUUGAUUUUUGGCAGGAGAUGAGCCCAUGCCCAUCCA